GGCGUGCGGUAACUACAGUCAGUCACAGGUACUGUCAGUGUGCAGUAACUACAGUCAGUCGGGGUACUUGCUCUGUCAGUGCUUGACAAUCUCUGUUUUUAAGAGCUGCUGUUGUCUUUAUUUCAGGAAUAUAUCUGUCCCAGAUGUGAAUCUGGUUUCAUUGAGGAGGUCACAGAGGAUUCCAGUCUCCUGGAGGGCGGCGCCAGCGGGAUCAACGAUGAUGCAGCCUCACAGUUUGCAGAGGUAUUGUGCUCCUUUUCUUGGUGUAUGUACAUGCAUGCAAACAUUGUGAUCUCACUCCUCACUCUCCUCUGUCCCCAGUGUGUGCGCGUGCGCUCAUGAACACUGUGACCUGACUCUCUCCCCUC
rnacentral:lncRNA from 1 species